UAUACACUUCCCCCACCGCGGGCUAUCGGCCAUCGCUUCACUAUCUCUGCUAUUUGUCUUAUUUCUUUGUCUCUCUAAAAUUCACCUCGCCUCCCCAUUUCUUUGCUUACUCCGGCCGACUAUCUCUGCUAUUUGUCCCCUUGGGAGGGCGUGCUGCCGUCGGUCGGUGCUCCAGCGACUGUCCCUAUCGGCGGCAUGAUCGGAUGGUAAGAUGAUGGCUAGAUGUGGCUAGAGUUGCUGAAAGAGCUAAGGUCUGGACUAGUUGGACAACCAUAUUGUUGAUGUUUAGAUGAUGAAAUGUUAGAACCUACUCCAUCUGAUGUACUAUUAGUUGUCAUUUAGAACAGCGACACGGUCUCCAAAAUAUAACUUUCAUCAAUAUUUUUUGUUAAAAUACAAAUAAACUCUCAACAUUUAUACUUUUAUAAAAGUACUUAUUAUAACAAAUCGGUGUAUAUAAACAUUGUGUUUCAAAACUACAUAAUAAAAUAGUUAUUUGUAGUCAAAAUUUAUAAGUUUGAUUCAUGUCUUGAUCAAAACGACAACUAAUAGGACACCAGAUGGAGUAGGAAUAUAUUGUUGCCUUUUAACGGCUAAUACUCUGCAUGUCAAACUGUAACCAGAUUUACUAUUUCGAUUCGUAGUGGUUCUUUCUUACGAAUAUACAGUUGUUUGUGUUCUAGUUAUUUGUGCAGAUGUCAAGCCUAGUGGUCUUUAUGCAUUCAAGCAAUUUGUAUUUUUAUUCCAUUGUAAAUAUUUUUUUUCUUUAUCAACUCACCCUGCUUUAGUUUUGACGAGGAAAGACUCAACAAGAUUGAGCUGUUUUGAUUGCAUCAGAAUUGCAUUGGCCCUGUUUUGACAAGUGCCUAUAAUACCAUGUCAAACUGCUUUAGUACUACUUAGGGCAGACAUACCUUUGUUGUUUCUGUUUAAGAAAAAGCAACAACGAUCUGUUUCAGAAAAAGAAGCAGCAAAGAGUUGUUGGUUAUGUGCUAACCGAACAAGAAAAAAUGACAGGGAAUUGAUGAAUAUGGAAUUAAACCACCUAGGGAAAGAGUGACAACAAGGGAUCCAUUCAAUCCACGUCUGGAUUAAUUCCACUUGGAGAUUGAAUCCAUACCUACCGAACAUGGCCUUAAUGUUACGGUGCACCACCGUGACUCUGACCUUGCAAAGGUGACUUGUUAGCACGAGUCAUGCUGUCAAUUAAAGCCGUUAAACCUGAGACAUAUUUCUAUAGUGAGAAUAAUUUGGUUUUCGGAAGGCAUCGUAAUGGGUAGCUGACGACAGAAACCGUAGCUAGCAAGCAUGGUUCGGCGUCCCAGGAUGGACAAGUCACAAGUUGGCGUGUGCUCGUAUCAUAUCAUUAUACUGUAUGCAUUAAUUAAUACUAGCAGUCGAUUGAAUUGGUCUCGGAACUGGAUAUUUAGUGAUUGACUGAUUGCACAGUUGACCUGCAAUUGUAGAGUACUUGCCAUCGCCAGAUUGUUGAAACGCGACUGGAAACUAGUGGUCCGGCCUUCAACAACGGUAGCGUGGCAAUUCAGCAAUGUGGUGGCGUGUCUCUAUCUGUCCUCAAAUCGCGGUGCAGAGGAGGAUGACCCGAAAGAGGGCUCUGGAAAGCUUUAGGUGUGGGAGGCGUUGAAGGGAUAACGGAAGAUUUUAAGGCCACACGACGCCGUUGAAGGGAUAAAGAAGAUCCCAAAGCCACACAAGCUAGAGAACAAUGCAGAAUGGAAGCGGUGGCGGCGGCGGCCUCGCUGCCGGAGUGCGGCUCCACCGGUGGACUGCUCAUCAGUGGCAGCAGAAGUGCUUCACUGCAGCUGCCCCCGCCGACGCUCGCGCAAGAAGGCGUUCGUGGCGCGCUUUUGCACGGCCUCGUCGAAGUGAUCACCGAGAAUGCGAGGCCGCCACGGAGACCAGCACGAAGGAGACGUACGUGCUGAUGGAACCCGGCAUGGACGAGGCGUUCGUGUCCAGAGAGGAGCUAGAGGAGAGCCUCACAAGAACUGGCCCGUGGACACCCUAUCCCUGGACCUCGCCAGGUUCGGCAUGGUCGACGAGGCCGUCUCGUACCUCGUCAGGUCCGUGUGUGUGCUCGAGAUCGAUGGAGACGUUGGGUCCGUGGAGUGGUACCAGGUCCAGUUGGACUAGUUGCCACCCUAGCUUGGAUGUAUGUCAGUGAGAAACCCAUUAAGAGCCUUUUUCACGCCCCUCAGCUUCUCGCCUCUAGACGGCCACCCCACGCAGAUAUGGCGACGCGAACCGUGAGCUUCCCCUCCUUUGCGGUCUCUUACCAGUGCCGAGGUGCGAGGAGGAUGCAUUUACGUUGCGAGGGACAUGAGAAGUUGCGAGUAGCCGUCACUGCCAAUGCGACUUUCUUUUAAAGAAGUUACUAGCUUUUAUGGACACUUGAAAGUCAACUUAUAAAAAAAAUCCAUGAGAAAUAAGGUCAA